ensembl:snRNA
GUGUUGUAUGAAAGGAGAGAAGGUUAGCACUCCCCUUGACAAGGAUGGAAGAGGUCCCAGUGGCCUUUACAACACAUAUACGGUUAAGGCACUGUCACUUACUUCGUGGCAUCUCUAACCAUGUUUUUUA